CAAAAUGGCAGCAACAUUGCAAAUAAGCGAGUUUGAUAGUGAAGACCAAAUAAUUAAAGAAAUAGCAAAACAAGAAGAGACAACGUCGUUGAAAUACAUAAUCUUGCGCAAAGACAAACGUUUUGGGCGAAAGGAUGCACACCCUUUGGAAGGAAAGAAGAUCAGCUGGGAGGUAAAAAGUCACCCAUUCAAUGGAGUUCCAUUUCAGGUUGUGGGCACAAGCACAUAUGAAUGCCAUCAGGGGAAAGACCGACAAGUAAAAGCUAAAGAGAAACAUGCUGCUAAAAUGAACAAGAAGGCGUUACGUAUAAAUUGGUGGAUGAGCUUGAAGACCAUGCCUUAAAGAGACGGAAACAAAAUACAAAGAAGGUGGACUGCAAGGCUUUAAUAAACAUCGCCCACAUUAUCCGCUUUCCUGGUUUUAAGAUUGAGGAGAGUACUGUGCGCUCUAAAAAGGAGGCCUCCAAAGAUCUGAAGGCAGCUCUAAGUGAAAAACCAAGCUCUGUGAAGGCAGAGGUUGUCUACUGUGUCAGGUUCCCCUCUCUCUCUGAGCAUAGCUCACACGCACUUGUUGGUGAGAGGUCCUCUAAGAAGAACUUGAAGAUGUUGCAGAAGCAAUGUGCAGGCUAUCUAAAAGAAAUCACAGACCUCACCUAUCAUCUUCAAGAUGAACAGUACAUGACUGGCCUGUCUUCACAUCUGCAAAGCCUAUUGCAGGAAAUGAAAGGACUUGUCCCACAGGAUAAAGAUCUCACACUGACCCUUUCCCCAAGGAAGAGAAAGGCUGAGGAGGACAUGGCCACCCUACCAACCCAGGGAGCAUCGCAACCUUUCACCGACAGUGUAGGACAGCAUGCAGAUUUACAGAACACAUGCGAAGAACCAUGUUUGCCAAAUUGAGUGUGGAGUGAGAUUGCUUAUAGGCAGGGAGCCUAGGGCGCCGGAGGAUGGCAGUGUAUAUAUAUAUAUAUAUAUAUAUAUAUAUAUAUGUAUAUAUGUGUUGAGUCUGUUUUUUUCCCCAGAAUAUUUUAUUUUUGAGAGCUGGGUUUUGUGGUAACCCAAGCCUGCCAGCAUACUUGUUGUACAAUUAAUAUUAAAAUGGUAAUAAAAUAAAAAUACAAUUGGGUGAUAAUCCUGUAUGCAGUGGUGGAAAAAUAACCCAAUUGUCAUACUUGAGUAAAAGUAAAGAUGCCUUAAUAGAAAAUGAAAGUCACCCAAUAAAAAACUACUUCAGUAAAAGUCUAAAAGUAUUUGGUUUUAAAUAUACCUAAGUAUCAAAAGUAAACAACUGCUAAAAUAUAUUUAAGUAUCGAAAGUAAAAGUAUAAAUCAUUUAAAAUUCCUUAUAUUAAGCAAACCAGAUGGCACCAUUUUCUUGUUCUUUUUAUUUAUUUAUGGAUAGUCAGGUGCACACUCUAACACUCAAGACAUCAUUUACAAAGGAAGCAUUUGUGUUUAGUGAGUCUGCUAGAUCAGUAAGGAUGACCAGGGAUUAGUUAUGUGUGAAUUGGAAAAAUGUUCUGUCUUGCUAAGCAUUCAAAAUAUAAUACUUUUGGGUGUAACGGAAAGCAUAGAUUAUAUGAUGAUGUUGAAAUGGUACUGGAAUAGUGGAGGCAGCUCCUGUUUUCUUUGUGACUUGUGAUAACACUCUGUGGUUCUAAAUUAAUAGUUGUUUACUAGUCCGAAAAUGGCGGAAACAUUAACCUGCUUGACCCUGCUGUAGGUCAUUUAAUACCACAUGCUUUGUGGACUUCACCAGACAGCUGUUGCUCUCCGGUUUUGUGAUGAAACAAAGGUGUGGUUGAAUUUGUACUGUCCCAGCCCUGGCUAUACUUCAGCCCAUAAUGGCCUCUCUCAGACCUUCUCCAGGUAACGCCCCACUCAUCUACAUCUCAUACAUGAUCAUACUCUGAAGAUGCUGAUGCUGUAAAAUACGGUUUCUCUAAGCUGCUGGUAUGGAUGUUUGGUUAUUACCUGUGUAUGUGUGGAUGGAUGCUGUGUUUAAUGGGGUGCUGUUGUUUUCUGUAAAUCCUCUCCAUGGCUGUUAUAUAAGGUGUGCUUCUAUUAUUAACCUGUACUCUUACCACUGAUUAGCUGUUCUCUCAAUGCAGGAGGUGGGUAUUUCACUGGGUGCAAUGGGGAGAUUAUGGCUGGUUAGUCCACCUUUGGAACUUAUGUUAUUUUAGUACAUUUUUCUUUCUAUUUGAUAGUCGAGCUAAAUAACUUAAAGUGCAUACAUUAUCCUAAUUUUGUCGUAUUUCAUGUCACUGUUACUGCGCAGUUAGCUGAUUAUGACCAAUUCCCAUCAUUGAAUAAUUGUUGUUUAGAGCCAGGAGUUUUUCCUGACUUUAACAGGAAAAUCUCUUCACCCUAUCUAUAACUUGGGCCCAUAGUUGUUCCUGACCGUCUGGCCAUGAAAAUGAUUAGCCCUUCUCAUUGGUUUCCACUAGUUUCUAUCGUCCCAAGGUCCUGUUCCACAGUCACAACGUCGGGUUCCACAGCCACAAAGUCAAAAUUAGCUACAAAAUUAAUUUUUGGUUUAAAGUUAGUGUUAGGCAUAAGGUUAGGUUGAAAAUCUAAUUUUAAGAAGAUAAAUUGUGGAAAUGGGCAUGGUUUGUGACUGUGUCUAUAAAAGCUACUGACGACCCUUUUCAUGUGAUACUCUUCCUGUUGUGAUGCAGUCGGCCAUGUUUUUGGGGAUUGGUCAGCAGUCUGCCUCACCCCUGGUGGCUGGGGGUGCUGACUGGGUUUCUUCUUGAGAGUGUUCCUUGGGCCCCAUAAAAAAGGCUACAUUAAAACACGUAACUUGUUUCAUGAUUUAUAGGUCUGUUGCUUGAAUAUAUAAAUUAUUUUCAGACAAUGCACUUUUCCCAUUAAUUUUAACAUGUAUAGCAGGUUGUGUGUGAAUUGGAAAGAUGUUCUGUCUUGCUAAGCAUUCAAAAUGUAAUACUUUUGGGUGUAACAGAAAAAGUAUAGAGUAAAAAGUAAAUUAUUUUCUUUAGGAAUGUAGUGAAGUAAAAGUUGUCAAAUAUAUGUAAUAUAGUACAGAUACCCCAAAAAGCUACCUAAGUAGUACUUUAAAGUAUGUUUACUUAAGUGCUUUACACCACUGCUUGUAUGUGGUGCAUUUCCACAUCCAGUACCCAGGUCAGGUCUUCUGUCUGAUUCCCUCCUUGGUGGAGUACUGUGGCUAGCAAUAUCCCUGUGAUCCUUCCAUGUCCGUGUUGCCGAGGGUUAAGAGUAUAAAUCGUAGAUUCAUAAUAUUACAUUGUAUUACACUCUCUAAACUUGUUCUAUGGAUUUCUUGGCCAAAAUCUGUUAACUGUUUUUUUUAAUACAUUUUGAGAUCUGGCUGUGGAACCCCUGCAAUAGCUCCGCGCAACCCAUUUGUAGAACCUUUAUACGUUCAUUGUGUGGUCUUGUCGGUUUCCACUCCAAUAUAAGAGAGAUCUCAAAAAUGGAGAAUGCAGUGAUAAGGCUAUAAUAUUUUAGGAUAUGUGGUUUUGGUCUGUGAUAUAGUCUUGAGUGACUUUGAUAUGAAAGUGAAACACUCUUAUACUUUCACAUGUUAUCUUGUUUAGCUGAUUAGGCCAUGUAUCUGAUUCACCUGGGAAUACACUACCCUCCCCAGAACCUGUUUUAUCUCUCUUGUCAUUCUAUAAUUGCAUACAGUUGCAUAACUGUUUGUCUGUGGAUUUUGGUGGGGGAAACAAGGUCUAACACAUUCUAAAAGUUAUCUGAUUACUUUACAUAAUGUGAUGCAUUUCAAAUUGUUUGCUUUUUUACACCCGUUAGUGGAUUUGGUAUUCCACACACCUUUCUUUGUACAUAAAAUAAAAAUGCAAC
ensembl:lncRNA